GCUGCGUGCGUGCACGAGGCAGCGGUAAAACGGCGGGUGAAAGCGGUAAUGAGAAGCGCUGGGCGUAAAGCGAACGUAGGCGGGAACGUAAGUCAGAUGUGAAAGCCCCGGGCUCAACCUGGGAACGGCAUUUGAGACUGCGUCGCGCGAGUCUGAGAGAGGGGGGUGGAAGUCCGGGGGUAGCGGUGAAAUGCGUAGAGAUCCGGAGGAACACCAGUGGCGAAGGCGGCCCCCUGGCUCAAGACUGACGCUGAGGUGCGAAAGCGUGGGGAGCAAACAGGAUUAGAUACCCUAGUAGUC
rnacentral:rRNA from 1 species